CUUCUCUCUUUUUUUAUAUGGAUUUCGAAAUACUUAAUCUCUUCCUUAAUGUAAUGUUGAAAACUUCUAGUUAUUUUAGUUGCUCUCCUUCAAUUCUAGUUUCUUUUUCUCAACAUCGUUUUCUUUACAUGAAUUCUCAACUAUGUUUUCUUUCUAAGUGCUCAAUUUUUUUCUCUCCUUUUUUAUCAUCAAUAAAAAGACUCAAACAAAGAUACCACAAAAGCAGCAAUGAUAAUAAUAUGAAUGAUACCACAUAAUUAUUGCAUUACAAAUACAAUAGAGAUAGUCAUAAGUAAGC
rnacentral:lncRNA from 1 species